CCGAGUGUGGGGUAGCUUGGUCGGCCCGUCUGCUUUGGGAGCAGAAGAUCGCAGGUUCGAAUCCUGUCACUCGGAC
rnacentral:tRNA from 2 species